UCCCGGUUGGCCCGGGCAGUCUUGUUUGAGAAAUACAACAAACAAUAAGGGUUGCGCUCGUUGCGGGACUUAACCCAACAUCUCACGACACGAGCUGACGACGGCCAUGCAGCAUCUGUCACUUGGUUCCCGAAGGCACAGCCUAAUUUCUUAGGCCUUCCAAGGAUGUCAAGCCUCGGUAAGGUUCUUCGCGUUGCGUCGGAUUAAACCACAUGCUCCACCGCUUGUGCGGGUCCCCGUCAAUUCCUUUGAGUUUUAAGCUUGCGCUCGUACUCCCCAGGCGGGAUGCUUAACGCGUUAGCUUCUCAGCCCAAGGGGUCGAUACCUCAGACUAAUAGCAUCCAUCGUUUACGGCGUGGACUAC
rnacentral:misc_RNA from 1 species